rnacentral:rRNA from 1 species
CCUACGGGUGGCUGCAGUGAGGAAUAUUGGUCAAUGGACGAGAGUCUGAACCAGCCAAGUAGCGUGAAGGAUGACUGCCCUAUGGGUUGUAAACUUCUUUUAUAUGGGAAUAAAAUGUUCCACGUGUGGGAUUUUGUAUGUACCAUAUGAAUAAGGAUCGGCUAACUCCGUGCCAGCAGCCGCGGUAAUACGGAGGAUCCGAGCGUUAUCCGGAUUUAUUGGGUUUAAAGGGAGCGUAGGUGGAUUGUUAAGUCAGUUGUGAAAGUUUGCGGCUCAACCGUAGAAUUGCAGUUGAAACUGGCAGUCUUGAGUACAGUAGAGGUGAGCGGAAUUCGUGGUGUAGCGGUGAAAUGCUUAGAUAUCACGAAGAACUCCGAUUGCGAAGGCAGUUCACUGGACUGCAACUGACACUGAGGCUCGAAAGUGUGGGUAUCAAACAGGAUUAGAUACCCUUGUAGUC